GUCGAGCGGAAUGACGAGAGCUUGCUCUUUGACUUUAGCGGCGGACGGGUGAGUAACACGUGGGCAACCUGCCCUACAGAUGGGGAUAACUCCGGGAAACCGGGGCUAAUACCGAAUAAUCAGUUUGUCCGCAUGGGCAAACUCUGAAAGACGGUUUCGGCUGUCACUGUAGGAUGGGCCCGCGGCGCAUUAGCUAGUUGGUGGGGUAAUGGCCUACCAAGGCAACGAUGCGUAGCCGACCUGAGAGGGUGAUCGGCCACACUGGGACUGAGACACGGCCCAGACUCCUACGGGAGGCAGCAGUAGGGAAUCUUCCACAAUGGACGAAAGUCUGAUGGAGCAAUGCCGCGUGAGCGAAGAAGGUUUUCGGAUCGUAAAGCUCUGUUGUAAGGGAAGAACACGUACGGGAGUAACUGCCCGUGCCAUGACGGUACCUUAUUAGAAAGCCACGGCUAACUACGUGCCAGCAGCCGCGGUAAUACGUAGGUGGCAAGCGUUGUCCGGAAUUAUUGGGCGUAAAGCGCGCGCAGGCGGUUCUUUAAGUCUGAUGUGAAAGCCCACGGCUCAACCGUGGAGGGUCAUUGGAAACUGGAGAACUUGAGUACAGAAGAGGAAAGCGGAAUUCCACGUGUAGCGGUGAAAUGCGUAGAGAUGUG
rnacentral:rRNA from 1 species